CAGGAAUGGAACCUCAUACAUGCAUAAUUCCACUGUUCUCCAGAGCCUAUAUUUUUCUUUCUUUUUUGAAAGCUCAACAUUUUACGGAGUUCCUGCAAUACUGGUACAUGGUGUUUUCCUGUGUAACACAGCUUUGACAUCUACCUCAAUGUGGCAGUUUCAGAGAAAAAGUCAGUAUGUGAGAGGCUCCUCGUGAAAUAGAUCUUUGCACAUCACAUGCUAGACAAAGGGCUAGUAACCAAACUUUAUGAAGAACUCACCAGAACAUGAAGAGAGGAUUAUGAGCAGAAUUUUUACCAAGGAUAUCUGUGUAUACCUAUGUUCAUAGCAGCAUGAUUUGUAAUAGCCCAAACUUGGAAGCAACCAAGCUAUCCGACAACAGAUGAGUGACUGAAAAAGUUGUGGUGCAUAUACACAAUGGAAUACUACUCAGCUGUUCAGAAAAGGUUUGUAAAAGACACCAUGUUGCAGAUGGUACCAUGAUGCCAACCUGACUUCCUUGGGCAGAGGACCUUACCAAUGUGUCCUGGAACCUCACCUCUCCAGAGCCCUGCCCAACUAGGAAAAGAUAGAAACAGGCUGGGAGUAUGGAUCAAUUUGUCAAUGCCCAUGUUCAGCAGUGAAGCAAUUACAGAAGACAGACCCUCCACCUUCUACACCCUGCAAUGAUCCUGGAUCCAUGCUCCCAGUAUAAAUAAAACUAGUUACUGGGAUGUAGUGUCAGAAAACACUUUAUUUAUCUUCUGAGGCACUUUCUUUGCCUCAAGCCCCCUUCAUAUGUAUUGAAAUUCAAAACUAUACUGGGGGUUGGAGACUGUAUAUUAGACAGGAAGGGGUUAGGGAAGGCAGAAAAAAAGUUCUGUUCCCAGUUUAUUUAUGAUGGCAGGGACUGACUCUCUCUAAAGAGAAAACUGAGAAGUUAUCACUGGUGCCUAUGCUCCUCCACUAGUCAGUCAUUAUUUUCUUUUCUUGUGAUAGAGGAUGAGAAACAGAGAGAUAGAGACGUCUGUUGCAGGGUUCCAGAGCAGAUGGGGACCCAGGAGCUUGAAUCCAGGUCCUUGACUAUGGUAAUGUGUACUCAACCAGGUACACCAUUACUUGGUAGCUGCAUUAUAAAUUUUUAAAGGAAACAUUUUUUGGAACUGAAAAAAACUUUAUUUACUGAAGUACAUUGGUUUAUAGUGGUGUUAUGUUAUAGGAAUACAGUUUCAUAUCUUUUCAAAUGCAUGUUACCUCACCAUGCCAACAACUAAAGCACCAAUAUCCUCUCAGUAAACAUUAA